UUGGCGGUGGGGUCGAUCUGGCGGGUGACCACCAGGUAGUUACGCAGCGCGAUGGCGUGCAGGUGUUC
rnacentral:sRNA from 1 species